CGCCCGCUUAGCUCAGUGGUAGAGCGCGUCACUAGUACCUCCCGCGAUUCGCGGAAUCCCGUUAGGGACAUGACGAGGUCGGUUGUUCGAUCCAGCCAGUGGGCA
rnacentral:tRNA from 1 species